GAUCCUGGCUCAGAGUGAACGCUGGCGGUAGGCCUAACACAUGCAAGUCGAACGGCAGCACAGGGGAGCUUGCUCCUUGGGUGGCGAGUGGCGGACGGGUGAGGAAUACAUCGGAAUCUACUCUGUCGUGGGGGAUAACGUAGGGAAACUUACGCUAAUACCGCAUACGACCUACGGGUGAAAGCAGGGGAUCUUCGGACCUUGCGCGAUUGAAUGAGCCGAUGUCGGAUUAGCUAGUUGGCGGGGUAAAGG
rnacentral:rRNA from 1 species